rnacentral:rRNA from 1 species
CGCAAGCCUGACGGAGCAAGACCGCGUGAGGGAGGAAGGCUCUUGGGUUGUAAACCUCUUUUCUCAGGGAAGAAGCUCUGACGGUACCUGAGGAAUCAGCCUCGGCUAACUCCGUGCCAGCAGCCGCGGUAAUACGGAGGAGGCAAGCGUUAUCCGGAAUUAUUGGGCGUAAAGCGUCCGCAGGUGGCGAUUCAAGUCUGCUGUCAAAGCACGGGGCUUAACUCCGUAAAGGCAGUGGAUACUGAAGGACUAGAGUGCGGUAGGGGCAGAGGGAAUUCCCGGUGUAGCGGUGAAAUGCGUAGAGAUCGGGAAGAACAUCGGUGGCGAAAGCGCUUUGCUAGACCGAAACUGACACUCAGGGACGAAAGCUAGGGGAGCG